rnacentral:rRNA from 1 species
UGCAAGUCGUACGCGAAAGUUGCCUUCGGGUGGCGAGUAGAGUGGCGAAAGGGUGAGUAAUGCAUGGUUACAUACCCUGGAGACCGGGAUACUUGCUGAAAGGCGGGUAAUACCGGAUGGUUCCCACGGGAAUAAACGGCGGGGCUCCUUCGGGACCUGCUGCUCCAGGAGUGGACCAUGUCCCAUCAGUUAGUUGGUGAGGUAAGAGCUCACCAAUGCAAUGACGGGUAGCUGGUCUGAGAGGAUGGUCAGCCACACUGGGACUGAGACACUGCCCAGACUUCUACGGGAGGCUGCAGUCGAGAAUCAUCCGCAAUGGGCGCAAGCCUGACGGUGCGACGCCGCGUGAAGGAUGAAGGCCUUCGGGUUGUAAACUUCUAACACGGGUUAAGAAACGCCUGGCAUUAAUAGUGUCGGGUUUGACGUAACCCCGAGAUGAAGCACUGGCUAACUCCGUGCCAGCAGCCGCGGUAAUACGGAGAGUGCAAGCGUUACUCGGAAUCACUGGGCUUAAAGGACACGUAGGCGGCCUCGUAAGUCAGUUGUGAAAGCUCUCGGCUCAACCGAGGAACUGCAGCUGAUACUGCGAAGCUAGAGGACGGUAGGGGAGAGCGGAACUCUUGGUGGAGCGGUGAAAUGCGUAGAUAUCAAGAGGAACACCGGUGGCGAAGGCGGCUCUCUGGUCCGUUACUGACGCUGAGGUGUGAAAGCCAGGGUAGCGAACGGGAUUAGAUACCCCGGUAGUCCUGGCCCUAAACGAUGAGCACUAAGUAGUGGAAGCCCUGCGUUUUCACUGCUGUAGCGAAAAGCGUUAAGUGCUCCGACUGGGGAGUACGGUCGCAAGGCUGAAAACUCAAACGAAUUGACCGGGGCUCACACAAGCGGUGGAGCAUGUGUUUAUAUUCGGGGCAACGCGAAGAACCUUACCCGGGUUUGACCUGCCAGGAUUAGCUUCACUGAAAGGGAAGUGACGCCUUUCAGGGGUGGAACUUGCCCAGGUGCUUGCACCGUUGUCGUCAGCUCGUGCCGUGAGGUGUUGGUUAAGUUCCCGUAACGAGCGAAACCCUUGUCGUUAGUUGCCAGCGGGUAAAGCCGGGGACUCUAACGAGACUGCCGUUGUUAAGACGGAGGAAGGUGGGGACGACGUC